AAGUUAUUUCCUGGGGACAGUUUGUCUUGAAAACAAACUUUAAGUGUUCGAUUCACUUGAUAACUUA
rnacentral:tRNA from 1 species